UAGGCCUACGGGGCGCAGCAGUGGGGAAUAUUGCACAAUGGGGGAAACCCUGAUGCAGCGACGCCGCGUGAGUGAAGAAGUAAUUCGUUAUGUAAAGCUCGAUCAGCAGGGAAGAAAAUGACGGUACCUGAGUAAGAAGCCCCGGCUAACUACGUGCCAGCAGCCGCGGAAAUACGUAGGGGGGAAGCGUUAUCCGGAUUUACUGGGGGUAAAGGGAGCGUAGACGGGAGGGCAAGACUGGAGU
rnacentral:rRNA from 1 species